ensembl:lncRNA
CUUGUGUCUGAUGUAUUGUUGGAAUGGUAUCAAACACCUGGAAACCUUGUGUCUGAUGUAUUGUUGGAAUGGUAUCAAAAUCUUCUCCAGCCCUUACCACGAGCCUGUCCUCUCCAAUUACCAACCUCCUGUGAUUGUUAGCAUUUAUAUGUGAUUUUAGCUGGAUAGUUAGCUAUAGCAUCUUUGAAUGUUUGAUUGUGUGUUCUGUGUUUGGUAGGCGUUCAGCUGUUUCUCAUUAAACUACUGAUCUAAUUGGGUUGGACGAUAUGUGAAUAAAUCAUAAAUGGCAGCACAUUCCUAAAGUUCUCGCAAUAACUUUCUGGCUUUAUUUUCAAAAUGUGUUUCAAAAACAGUUCAGUGUUUGUCUCAAAUAUGAUCAUUUUAGUAUUCUGUAGCUUUGUGGACUGCCACCCAAUUGUAAAAAACGAUUAAUUUUAUUAUCCUUUAAUAGCGAUCAUGACAAGCCAAAAGGACUUUCGCCGCUUAUUGGGGAGUCUGAUGAGAGGGAGGGGAGAGGAUAUAUUUGAAGUUUUUCUCUCCAUAUGCCUUGUGGUUUUUUGCCAAGGGAUUGUGAUGGUGUGUUUGAAUAUGGAGCUCUGUGUUGAUGUUGUUGUAUAUCCUGUACAUACAGUAGCUGUCCUGUGAGUGUAUGGUUGUGAUGGUGUGUUUGAAUAUGGAGCUCUGUGUUGAUGUUGUUGUAUAUCCUGUACAUACAGUAGCUGUCCUGUGAGUGUAUGGUUGUGAUGGUGUGUUUGAAUAUGGAGCUCUGUGUUGAUGUUGUUGUAUAUCCUGUACAUACAGUAGCUGUCCUGUGAGUGUAUGGUUGUGAUGGUGUGUUUGAAUAUGGAGCUCUGUGUUGAUGUUGUUGUAUAUCCUGUACAUACAGUAGCUGUCCUGUGAGUGUAUGGUUGUGAUGGUGUGUUAUUGAAUAUGGAGCUCUGUGUUGAUGUUGUUGUAUAUCCUGUACAUACAGUAGCUGUCCUGUGAGUGUAUGGUUGUGAUGAUGUGUUAUUGAAUAUGGAGCUCUGUGUUGAUGUUGUUGUAUAUCCUGUACAUACAGUAGCUGUCCUGUGAGUGCAUGGUUGUGAUGAUGUGCCUGUCAAAGGUUGUGUGGUUUAUAUUUUCCCAAAAAUGUUACAAAAUAAAAACAUUUACAUUUAAUUGGUGUUUUUAAGACCUCUAGAAUCAGAC